AUGCAAGUCGAGGGGUAACAGGGUAAGCUUGCUUUCGCUGACGACCGGCGCACGGGUGCGUAACGCGUAUGUAACCUGCCCCCUUCAGGAGGAUAGCCCGGAGAAAUCCGGAUUAAUACUCCAUAAUAUGUACGAACCGCAUGGUUUGGAUAUUAAAGAUUUAUCGGAAGGGGAUGGACAUGCGUCCCAUUAGGUAGUUGGUGAGGUAAUGGCUCACCAAGCAUCGAUGGGGAGGGGUUCUGAGAGGAUGAUCCCCCACACUGGUACUGAGACACGGACCAGACUCCUACGGGAGGCAGCAGUAGGGAAUAUUGGGCAAUGGAGGCAACUCUGACCCAGCCAUGCCGCGGGAACGAUGAAGGCCCUCGGGUCGUAAAGUUCUUUUAUAUGGGAAGAACCGUAGCUAUGCGUAGCUGCCUGACGGUACCAUAUGAAUAAGCACCGGCUAACUCCGUGCCAGCAGCCGCGGUAAU
rnacentral:rRNA from 1 species